GGUUCGAUUCUGGCUCAGGAUGAACGCUAGCUACAGGCUUAACACAUGCAAGUCGAGGGGCAGCAUGGUCUUAGCUUGCUAAGGCCGAUGGCGACCGGCGCACGGGUGAGUAACACGUAUCCAACCUGCCGUCUACUCUUGGACAGCCUUCUGAAAGGAAGAUUAAUACAAGAUGGCAUCAUGAGUCCGCAUGUUCACAUGAUUAAAGGUAUUCCGGUAGACGAUGGGGAUGCGUUCCAUUAGAUAGUAGGCGGGGUAACGGCCCACCUAGUCUUCGAUGGAUAGGGGUUCUGAGAGGAAGGUCCCCCACAUUGGAACUGAGACACGGUCCAAACUCCUACGGGAGGCAGCAGUGAGGAAUAUUGGUCAAUGGGCGAGAGCCUGAACCAGCCAAGUAGCGUGAAGGAUGACUGCCCUAUGGGUUGUAAACUUCUUUUAUAAAGGAAUAAAGUCGGGUAUGGAUACCCGUUUGCAUGUACUUUAUGAAUAAGGAUCGGCUAACUCCGUGCCAGCAGCCGCGGUAAUACGGAGGAUCCGAGCGUUAUCCGGAUUUAUUGGGUUUAAAGGGAGCGUAGAUGGAUGUUUAAGUCAGUUGUGAAAGUUUGCGGCUCAACCGUAAAAUUGCAGUUGAUACUGGAUAUCUUGAGUGCAGUUGAGGCAGGCGGAAUUCGUGGUGUAGCGGUGAAAUGCUUAGAUAUCACGAAGAACUCCGAUUGCGAAGGCAGCCUGCUAAGCUGCAACUGACAUUGAGGCUCGAAAGUGUGGGUAUCAAACAGGAUUAGAUACCCUGGUAGUCCACACGGUAAACGAUGAAUACUCGCUGUUUGCGAUAUACUGCAAGCGGCCAAGCGAAAGCGUUAAGUAUUCCACCUGGGGAGUACGCCGGCAACGGUGAAACUCAAAGGAAUUGACGGGGGCCCGCACAAGCGGAGGAACAUGUGGUUUAAUUCGAUGAUACGCGAGGAACCUUACCCGGGCUUAAAUUGCAGAUGAAUUACGGUGAAAGCCGUAAGCCGCAAGGCAUCUGUGAAGGUGCUGCAUGGUUGUCGUCAGCUCGUGCCGUGAGGUGUCGGCUUAAGUGCCAUAACGAGCGCAACCCUUGUUGUCAGUUACUAACAGGUUCCGCUGAGGACUCUGACAAGACUGCCAUCGUAAGAUGUGAGGAAGGUGGGGAUGACGUCAAAUCAGCACGGCCCUUACGUCCGGGGCUACACACGUGUUACAAUGGGGGGUACAGAGGGCCGCUACCACGCGAGUGGAUGCCAAUCCCCAAAACCUCUCUCAGUUCGGACUGGAGUCUGCAACCCGACUCCACGAAGCUGGAUCCGCUAGUAAUCGCGCAUCAGCCACGGCGCGGUGAAUACGUUCCCGGGCCUUGUACACACCGCCCGUCAAGCCAUGGGAGCCGGGGGUACCUGAAGUGCGUAACCGCGAGGAGCGCCCUAGGGUAAAACUGGUGACUGGGGCUAAGUCGUAACAAGGUAUCC
rnacentral:rRNA from 1 species